ensembl:snoRNA Gm25999 small nucleolar RNA SNORA70
AUGCAGCCAGUUGAGCUGGCCAGGCCCCCUUCUUCAUGGCACCUGUGUGUAAUGGCUGCAAACAGAAGCCUGCUUGGAGGGAUAUUCAACCUGCUGUCUGUGUGGGUUUCCCUAAGGGAUCUUGGUGGCAGCU